rnacentral:rRNA from 1 species
GAUGAACGCUGGCGGCGUGCCUAAUACAUGCAAGUCGAGCGAAUGGAUUAAGAGCUUGCUCUUAUGAAGUUAGCGGCGGACGGGUGAGUAACACGUGGGUAACCUGCCCAUAAGACUGGGAUAACUCCGGGAAACCGGGGCUAAUACCGGAUAACAUUUUGAACCGCAUGGUUCGAAAUUGAAAGGCGGCUUCGGCUGUCACUUAUGGAUGGACCCGCGUCGCAUUAGCUAGUUGGUGAGGUAACGGCUCACCAAGGCAACGAUGCGUAGCCGACCGGAGGGGGUGAUCGGCCACACUGGGACUGAGCCACGGCCCAGACUCCUACGGGAGGCAGCAGUAGGGAAUCUUCCGCAAUGGACGAAAGUCUGACGGAGCAACGCCGCGUGAGUGAGGAAGGCUUUCGGGUCGUAAAACUCUGUUGUUAGGGAAGAACAAGUGCUAGUUGAAUAAGCUGGCACCUUGACGGUACCUAACCAGAAAGCCACGGCUAACUACGUGCCAGCAGCCGCAGUAA